rnacentral:lncRNA from 1 species
GCAAUUUUCAAUAACCCUUCAAAAUAUGGUGAAGCCUCUAGCUUACAGAGUUUACUUUAUCUGCUGAUAUGAUGUGAGGACUAUCUGAUUCCAUUUUCACAUUUUGGUGUGAAGGUUUCGAAGAGGUGAAAAUGGCAUGCUGUGGCAGUGGUCCAUUGAGAGCUUCCAUUACUUGCGGCCAGAAAGUAUACCAACUGUGCGAUAACGUUAGCGAAUAUUUCUUCUUUGAUGGAAUUCAUCCAACCGAAAAGGCCAACUUUCAAUUUGCAAAGCUAAUGUGGGAUGGGAGUCCUAAAAUCGUCAAGCCUUACAACCUGAAGACACUGUUCGAGAAAUAGUUCGAAAUUUAUUCCCAGACAGGAGAUGACUUUGAUUACCCGUUCUGCACCUCGAAUAUGACUCAAUUUCAUGCUUCAAAGCCAAGUUGAUUCAGACUUUAGACUGUACCACUGAAUUGAAUUGCUUGAUUUGUAUUUGUAUCGGACAAUAAAAUUUCUUAUGAUAAUUUGAAAAACUUCAUCGUGAGUUCUGAUUUGUUGAGGAAACAAUAUCGCUUGGGGACAAUCCUAGAAGCAAAUCAAACUUCUACACAAAAAAUCAUUAAAGGUAUAAAGAGGCUCAAAACCAGAUUGCCUCCUUUGAAGCUAAAUUCAAGCAAAUAAAUGACCCUAAUAUUUUAAUCAGUUGCAUGAUUUAGAACUAGAGGUUAAAGAUGGCAUGGGGAAGUUCGAGCAACUAAUUGGAGAAUCCUUUUAUUUUUAUUAUUGUUUGUUUCUCAUUUUGACUUCUUUGUCUCACGCUUAACAAAGAAUGAUACUUUUCAUUUGAAGCCAUCAAUUUGAUGAUAAAAUCAUUUUUAAUUAACUCUAUAUUAGUUUGAUGACAAUUUCUUUCAAAUAAUAUUUUUGGUUUCAAGUAAAACCCGAUGGAAACUUUUCUUUAAAUGGAAACUUUUCAAGCAUAGCCUAUCAAUCAAAUGUCAACAAUAAUUUUCCUUGGAAUCUUGUUUCAAGUAAAGCUCUCAUUUGAUCAAUUGCAAUUUUCUUUUUAAUAGUAAUUUAUUUUAGAGAGUAAAGUCUAUCAAUUCGAUGAUAAUUUAUUUUUUAUAUAAUAUUUUUAUUUCAAAUAAAGCCUAUUAGUUUAAUGAUAAAUUUCCUUCAUGUGAUAUUUUUUUUCUCAAACUAUAUUUUUGAUUUAAGUAAAGCUCAUUAAUUCAGUGAUACUUUUCUCUUUAAAAACAUUUUGAUUUCAAGUAAAGUUCAUCAAUCUAAUGAAAAUUUUCUCUCAAAAAACAUUUUAUUUCAAACAAAACUCAUUAAUAUGAUGACAAGAAUAAUUUUCUUUCAAAUUUUCCAUCGAGUAAAUUCCAUCACUUGGAUGGAAUUUUUUUUUCAACAGGCAAUUUUUCAAGUGAAGUUUAUAAUUUCGAUGACAAUUUUCUUUUCAAUAGCAUUUAAUAGAUUUGGAUCCCAAUUUGAUCAUUUCAUUCUUUAUCUGACAAAAUUCCAAGUUAAUCUUGUUAUUUUUGUUUACGUAUAUCCCAAGUUGAGCCCUUAAUUUACAUGAAUUUUAAGUUGAUCAUAUUAUUUUUUAUCUGGCGGAUCCCAAGUACUAGUUGAUUCUAUUAUUUUUGUUUGUGUGAAUUUCAUGUUGAUUCUUUUAUUUAUAUGAAUUCCAAGUCAAUAGAUUAUCUCAAGUUGCUUCCUUUAGGUUGUCCACCAAUCUCUCGAGCACUAGAAAUAGUCAGAACAGGUGGCUCUGGCUGCAUGGAAGAAGUUACACUGCUUGCAAAACUACACAACAGAGCACUCCCUAAAGCUCUCAAAGAGCUCAAGAGCCAACUAAAAGGAUAUACCUAUUCAAUUUUUGAUGCCUACACUGUAGCAACUGCAAUUUUCAAUAAUCCUUCAAAAUAUGGUGAAGUCUCUAGCUUACAGAGUUUCCUUUAUCUGCUGUUAUGAUGUGAGGACUUUUGAUUCCAAUUUUACAUUUUUUUUGUGAAGGUUUCGAAGAGGUGAAAAUGGCAUGCUGUGGCAGUGGUCCAUUGAGAGGCUCCAUUCCUUGCGGCCAGAAAGUAUACCAACUGUGCGAUAACGUUAGCGAAUAUUUCUUCUUUGAUGGAAUUCAUCCAACCGAAAAGGCCAACUAUCAAUUUGCAAAGCUAAUGUGGGAUGGGAGUCGUGAAAUCGUCAAGCCUUACAACCUGAAGACACUGUUCGAGAAAUAGCUCAAAACUUAUUCCCAGACAAUUUCUUUCAAAUAAUAUUUUUAGUUUCAAGUAAAAUCCAUUAGUUUGAUGGAAAAUGUUCUUUAAAUGGAAACUUUUCAAGCAUAGCCUAUCAAUCAAAUGUCAACAACAAUUUUCCUUCAAAUCUUGUUUCAAGUAAUGCUCAUCAUUUAUAUGGAUUUCAAGUUGAUUCUUUUGUUUCUCAUCAACGAAUCAUCUCAAGUUGAUCCUUUCAUUUACAUAGAUCCGAAGUUAAUCUUUUCAUUUCUCAUCCAACAAAUCCUUAGUUAAUCUUGUUAUUUUUGUUUGUAUGAAUCUCAAAUGGAUCAUGUUUUUUUGGCUCUAUUGCGGCAUUAUUUGACACCAUGUAUAGCUUUCAAGAAAUAAAAUCCUCUUUUCAUGUGAUAUAUUUUUUUUCUUUGCAAUUUUUCUACAUAAAAUUAAAUGAAAAUGAUUUUCUAAAAUUCUUUAUAUAAUGAGUAUUGUAAAAAGAGGACAAUUGUCAUAACUUAUCUUAUUUUUUAAUUUUAUUUUUUCAAAUAUAAAAUAAAUAAUAAAAGAAAUUAAAAAUUUGAUAUGAAAAUUGGAAAUUAUAAUUUUUUUAUUUUUUAUUUAAAGAUUAAAAAUUGAAAAUCGAAAAGUUUUGAAAAUAAAAGAUAACAUUUUUAGUACAAAUAGAGGGGCUUAGUUUCGGAGUAAAGGGGGAGAGAAAAUUCCAAGGGGAAAAUCAGAAGAAAAUUUAGAGAAAGAAUAUGAGGAAAAAAUGAGAGAACAGAUUGAUGAGAGUCUGGAGAGAAAAUACAGACAGAGAAAAAGAAAAAGAAAAAGAAAAAGAAACAAUAGAAAACCAUUAAAAAAUAAUAACAAUCUUAUCUACUAAAAACCAGAAAAAAUCCCGCCCCCUUUGGUUUUUCUUUGACCAGAAUCCAUGAAUGCCAUUGAAACUUCAGAACCUCCUUCCUCUCAAAUCAACAACCCACUCAACAACAACUCAUCCACAAAACACCACCCAGCGUCUAUAGCCUUAAUCCCCGACCAGAAAAAUCAUCUCCGCCCGAAUUCACCCACAAACAACCAUCAACCCAAAACCAGCAGCAACUCUUCUUCUCCACUGACCAGAAGCAGCCAACAGAAACUAUUACAGACCCACCGUACCAUUUCCCACUUAGUUUUUGUCUAUGUAUUAAAGGGGAGAUUGAGGAUCAGAGUUAAUAGAGAGUGAAGCACUAAAAACAUGGGGAGUUCAAGGUCCAGCAUUUUAUGUUUCUUGAUGCUCUGUGCAAGUUUUCUAGUCCCAGCAAGCUGCCACAGUUACUCUCAUGGUGCUUUAUUUAUCUUCGGAGAUUCCUUUUAUGAUGCCGGGAAUAAUAUCUAUCUCAACACUAACAUUCCCAAACUAAAUAUCUUUCCAUAUGGAGAGACAUAUUUUAAGCAUCCCACAGGAAGGGCUAGUGAUGGUCGAUUAAUUCCAGAUUUUAUUUGUAAGUACAGUACUUUGCAAUUUUUCUUCUCCCUUUUUAAUUUCUGCGCUUUUCUUUCUGUUUUGAAAUAGAUUGUUGGAUAUAUAUAUUAUUGAAUUUCCAUAUCACGCCCAUUUGUAUUUUUAACUGAAGUUUUGGGUGCCCUGUUUGUAUUUUUAAUUUAAAGACUCCCAAGUCUAAGACUCAAAUUCAGCUUUAUGAAAAAUUUGGAGGGCCAAGGUUCCUUCAAAGCAAGUCUACAUGCCACGCCCAAUUCCUACCGCAUCCUUAAAAUCUAGUUCGUAUUCAAACUUAAUAUUACUGACACUAUGUUUUUGGCAAAAUGAUUCUUGUAACUUUGUUGCAGCUGAAUUUGCAAAGCUACCAUUAAUUCCACUAUAUUUACUACCCGGAAACAAUCAAUUCACAAAUGGAGUCAACUUUGCAUCAGGCGGAGCUGGUGCUCUCGUUGAAACUAAUCAAGGACUGGUAUGUGCUCCUUUUGCUAAAUUAUUCCUGCCUGUUGGACUGGAUUUAGCUUAAGUAAAUCUGUGUGCAUAAACCUGAAUUCAUAUAAAGUUAUCCAUCUCUUAAGUUGCAUGAUUACUUAUACUAUUUUUAUUUUUUUUCAUUUUUCCCGCUUGUUCCUUCAUAGAUUAUGGACCUUAAAACUCAAUUAAGUAAUUUCAAGAAUAUGGAGAAGCAGCUAAGGCAAAAACUAGGAGCUUCAGAAGUUAAGACUCUGUUAUCCACAGCUGUUUACAUGUUCAGCAUUGGAAGCAACGACUACUUGGUACCUUUCAUCACAAACUCCACUGUGCUUCAAUCCUACUCCAAAAAAGAGUAUGUCAAGAUGGUUAUUGGCAAUAUAACAACCGUGAUCCAAGUAAUUAACAUGUCCGGACCAUAUGAAUUAAUUCUUUAUUUCAUUUUCUUCCCCAAGUUCAUCAAACUAAGAUUGCAUUAAUUUUGGUGUCUCAGGAAAUUUAUAAGAUAGGGGGAAGGAAAUUUGGGCUAUCAAAGUUGCUUCCUUUAGGCUGUCCACCAAUCUCUCGAGCACUAGAAAUAGUCAGAACAGGUGGCUCUGGCUGCAUGGAAGAAGUUACACUGCUUGCAAAACUACACAACAGAGCACUCCCUAAAGCUCUCAAAGAGCUUAAGAGCCAACUAAAAGGAUAUACUUAUUCAAUUUUUGAUGCCUACACUGCCGGAACUGCAAUUUUCAAUAGCCCUUCAAAAUAUGGUGAAGCCUCUAGCUUACAGAGUUUCCUUUAUCUGCCGGUAUGAUGUGAGGACUAUCUGAUUCCAUUUUCACAUUUUGGUGUGAAGGUUUCGAAGAGGUGAAAAUGGCAUGCUGUGGCAGUGGUCCAUUGAGAGCUUCCAUUACUUGCGGCCAGAAAGUAUACCAACUGUGCGAUAAUGUUAGCGAAUAUUUCUUCUUUGAUGGAAUUCAUCCAACCGAAAAGGCCAACUUUCAAUUUGCAAAGCUAAUGUGGGAUGGGAGUCCUAAAAUCGUCAAGCCUUACAACCUGAAGACACUGUUCGAGAAAUAGUUCGAAACUUAUUCCCAGACAGGAGAUGACUUUGACUACCCGUUCUGCACCUCGAAUAUGACUCAAUUUCAUGCUUCAAAGCCAAGUUGAUUCAGGCUUUAGACUCUAGCACUGAACUCUAGAAUUGAAUUGCUUGAAUUGUAUUUGUAUCAUCCAACAAAUCCUUAGUUAAUCUUGUAAUUUUUGUUCAUGUGGAUCUCAAGUUGUUCUAGAGGUUGGGUGGUGCUUUAUGGAUGAGUUGGUGUUGAGAGGGGUUGUUGAUUUGAGAGGAAGGAGGUUCUGAAGUUCAAUUGGCAAUUUUUCAAGUUUAGUAUAUAAUUCAGUUGUCAAUUUUCUUUCCAAUAGCAUUUAAUAAAUUUGGAUCCUAACUUGAUAGUUUCAUUUUUAUUUGUGUGGAUUUCAAGUCAGUCCUUUUUUUUACAUGAAUUUCAAGUAGAUUCUUUUAUCUAAGA